rnacentral:sRNA from 1 species
CAAAUCCUAUUUCUCUAAAAUCAUCUAACCAAGUGUGUUAUUUUGACCUACUCAUAUAGUAGGGUUCAAAUAUCAUUAUUCAGCCAACCAAAUUGAAUAAGAAAGAGCAAAUAUCUUUGGUGGUUAUAACUUUCUUGCGUUUCGCUGCCUCUAAAACUCGGAUAUUGUGCUUCAGCAUAGCACCCGAGCGCAUAUUGAGCUGGUUUUCUUUCUAUACAAAUCUACGCUGCCAUCAUCACCGAGAGGAGUCUUUGGAUGGUAAGCACUUUCAUUUGUGAUUUUUCUUCAUCUCAUAGUUUAUUAGGCCUUCAUAGCGGAAACCCUCGAUCCGACGAUAGACUUCAAGAAUGUCAAGGAGAACGGUGUGGCCAUGAUUACCGGCAGAGGACAGAUGGUAUACUGGAAGGGAUGCAACGUUACUGUCAUUGAGAAUGACAGUACCGGGGAAGAACAAUUCACGAAGCUUGUCGGUAUACCAGAUGGACAAGGACAUGUUGAAUCCGGUACUAAGCUGUACGUGACCAACGGAAAAGUUAAGGAAGCAUAGAAAGGCAUUUGAAGAUCUUGUUAAUAUUCUAGGUAUAUAGCUUGUUUUGUAUUUUAACACCGCCUUCUAAACCAAGAGCCAAGUUGAUAAUAGCCCCAUUUUUUUGUGAGAAUCAUUGACACACACUCUGUUACAUGAAUUCCUUCUGCUAGUUCCUUCCUGUGUAUUGGGUUUUUGGUGAUUGCGUCGUGUAUCUCAGGACCGAAUCCACUGACAAUAACCUCAUCAGUGACACCUUUCAACGUCACUUCAGAGUUGGGAAUGAUCAAAGUAACACCAUUGUUGAGGACAAGGUGCUGAACUUGAUUUGCCCAUUUCAGUUUUGUGCUGAACAACACCAUCAGAACCCAUUCCACACUCCAUUUGCUGACUUCCAGGCUCACAAGACAA